UCUUGCGCUGCUCCGCGUUCUCCAUUUUGGGCCACCCAUGGGGGGGUCCUCCGUAGAGGCCCCGAGGGAGAGUUGGGCGAGGGAAGGAAGAGAAAAUCUUCAGCGAGGGUAGUCGGAAAGAAGAGUCCUGCGGUAGAAAGCGACUCUAGGAGUAGGAGUUUGUGGUGCUGGAGAUGGAACCCAAGGUGUCACCCAUACCAGGAAAAUGCUCUAUUACUGAACCACAGACCCAACUCAAUGCCUUGCAAAUAAUAAUCGUGUUUUGUUCACAUGUGUUAUAACCAAACAAAUGUUAGCAUAUAGUAGAAAAUCAAUAAAUGUUUAUUGAAUUGAAAUGAAGAAUAAAUAAUUAUCUGGAUCAGCA